AUUGAACGCUGGCGGCAGGCCUAACACAUGCAAGUCGAGCGAGCGGCGGACGGGUGAGUAAUGUAUGGGGACUGCCCGAUAGAGGGGGAUAACUACUGGAAACGGUGGCUAAUACCGCAUACUAUCGGAUAACCCAUAUGGGAUUAGCUAGUAGGUGGGGUAAAGGCUCACCUAGGCGACGAUCUCUAGCUGGUCUGAGAGGAUGAUCAGCAACACGGGGACUGAGACACGCCCCAGACUCCUACGGAGGCAGGAUGGGGGAAUUUUGCACAAUGGGCGCAAGCCUGAUGCAGCCAUGCCGGGUGUAUGAAGAAGGCCUUAGGGUUGUAAAGUACUUUCAGCGGGGAGGCGUGACCCGCAGAAGAAGCACCGGCUAACUCCGUGCCAGCAGCCGCGGGAAUG
rnacentral:rRNA from 1 species